rnacentral:misc_RNA from 1 species
CAUAAAGGACUUGAGAUCUAAUUAACAUUCUAGCUUCACUUAAUAAAUCACGCAACUUUAAAGGAUUGAAAACCAAAAUAUGGCAACUGGUAACUAUCCUCAAACAAACAUUUUUAUCAAAAAGUCUACAAUGUAGCAAUAAAGGCAAUAGUCCAACAUACAUCUAGCAGAAAUAGAAGCUUGCUACAAAGAUUGAAUGGUUGACGAAGACAACAGCAGGAGAUCUCUGUAAUAUUUAAUCCAUAUCAAGGUCAGAACAUGCCUCAAAACAUAGUUCCAAUCUCUUACAAGUGGACCUGCAAAGAUAANGAUAAACAAACACAAAGUGCGCAUAUUUAUGAGGAACCAACUACAGGCAGAAAAAUCUGAGCACCAAAGAAACACCAAGAAAUCUUCUAAGAGAACCAUCCUUAGUGUAGCAAAGGCUGAUUCCUUAGAAUUUAAAGUUCAUGCAUCUCAACAGACUUCUAAAAUCAAUUGAGCUUUAGCAGUUCAUCCAGAUAAGUCAAGUUCCAAUAUGUUGUCCAAUUCAACAUUUCUCCCUUCAGCUCAUUUCUUCUUAAAACUCGGAUAUCCAUCAGCUAAUACAAAGCUACUCUCCUGCAAUUUCCAUGGGGAACUUGAGAUAACUAUCAUCCUCAACCAUCAACUAUGGCUCUCUAUCGAUGUAUUCCACAUCAUUGCUUGCACCAGUUCAGUCAAUUUUAUCCUCCGGUGAUGGACUCUGGUAUUCAUUGUGUCCUUCUAGUCCUUCAACAGACAUUGACUGUCUUCUUUUGUGAUGCUUUGAUUUUUCAUCUCUAUUUUCACCCAUUUUAUGACUAGAGUGCAGCUUGCCUUCUGGAGAUUUUGACCUAGAGUGUCUUCUGUGUUUUGAUUUAUUUUCAUCCCCACCUUUUGGGGAUGACCGGCUUCCUCUGUGAUGCUUCCCCUCAGCAGACAAUGAUCUAGACCGCUUUCUGUCACGAUGCUUAGACUUUUUAUCAAUGGUUUCAUUUCUUUUCUCUCUGAAGUGGUACCUGCCUUCAACAGAUUUUGACCUAGACCUCCUUCUAUCACGACGUUUUGAUCUUUCAUCCCUGGUUUCAUUCGCUUUUUCAUUGGAGCGAUUAUGUGCUUCCACAGAUUUUGACCUCAACCGCCUCCUGUGUUUUGUUUCAUUUUCAUCCAAACUUCUAGGGGAUGACUUACUUCCAUUAUUCCUCUCUUCAGAAGAUAAUGACCUGGAUCUCCUCCUCUCGUGUUUCUUUGUCUUUUCAUCCUGGGUUUCUUUUGCCCGGUCAUUGGUAUCUUCCACAGAUUUGGACCUAGAACGUUUUCUGUAUUUUUGUUUGUCAUUGCUGUCAUUUAUUGGAGAUGACCUACUUCCCCUAUGAUGCCUUGGUGAUCUUGAACCACCAUGGGAUGAUUUUCUCACUCUAUGUGGUGAACUUUCUCGGCGGUGUUUUGGUGAGCCUGAAUCAGCUCUAUAGGACUUUUUCCUUCGAGGACUCACACUCCUACUCCUAUUUCUCCUUGAAACAGAGGAAUGACGAUCAUACAAUCGAUCCUGCCUCCUAGUUCUGUCACUAUCAUCCCUAA